rnacentral:rRNA from 1 species
CACGUAGGGGGCGAGCGUUGUCCGGAUUCAUUGGGCGUAAAGCGCACGUAGGCGGAUUUGUAAGUCAGGGGUGAAAUCCCGGGGCUCAACCUCGGAACUGCCUUUGAUACUGCAAAUCUCGAGUCCGGAAGAGGUGAGUGGAAUUCCUAGUGUAGAGGUGAAAUUCGUAGAUAUUAGGAAGAACACCAGUGGCGAAGGCGGCUCACUGGUCCGGUACUGACGCUGAGGUGCGAAAGCGUGGGGAGCAAACAG